UACGGAGGGUGCAAGCGUUGCUCGGAAUUAUUGGGCGUAAAGGGCGCGUAGGCGGCCUGGCAAGUGGAAGGUGAAAUCCCUCGGCUUAACCGAGGAACUGCCUCCCAAACUGCUUGGCUUGAGACCAGGAGAGGUGAGUGGAAUUCCCAGUGUAGCGGUGAAAUGCGUAGAUAUUGGGAGGAACACCAGUGGCGAAGGCGGCUCACUGGACUGGUACUGACGCUGAGGCGCGAAAGCGUGGGGAGCAAACGGG
rnacentral:rRNA from 1 species